rnacentral:rRNA from 1 species
UACGUAGGAUGCGAGCGUUGUCCGGAAUUAUUGGGCGUAAAGCGAGCGUAGGCGGCCUGGUAAGUUUGGUCUUAAAGACCGGGGCUCAACCCCGGGAAUGGACCGAAUACUGUCAGGCUGGAGUACGCUAGAGGAUGGUGGAAUUCCAAGUGUAGCGGUGAAAUGCGUAGAUAUUUGGAGGAACACCGGUGGCGAAAGCGACCAUCUGGGGCGCUACUGACGCUGAGGUUCGAAAGCUCGGGGAGCAAACAGG